ensembl:rRNA 5S_rRNA 5S ribosomal RNA
GUCUAUGGCCAUACCACCCUGAUCCCAGAGCUAAGCAGGGUCAGUCUUGGCCAGUGCUUGUAAGGGAGACUAUGUUGGAAUACCGGGUGUUGUAGACU